AUACGUCUCCUUCAUCUCCACUGGGUUCUCUUCUUCGAUUCCAAUCCCUUCUUGGAUUCUUAAAACCAUAUUUUUUCAUAUGCUUCUUUGAUUAUUGCUCAUCAACCUAUUUCUAACUGGAAUCCAAAAUUUAUACUUAAUUUGUCAAUAUUGUGAUGUUCACCUAAGGUGGGUGCUUAACCUCUACACGAAAGAGGCUUUCAUGAUGGAAGCGUUGAAGAACUUCAGAAUCAACAACAAGGAUGAUUGCGUUUGCUGGUUUGAUUUGCAAUGUAAGGAUGUCCAGUUGACCAUGGACAUUGGGACAAAAUCAAUUUCAUCUCUUUGUUAAGAGAAAGGUAUGCUUAGCCAACGAAAUUUACAAAAUGUUAGAGGGUCAGAAGUCAGCCAGUGGAAGAAAUCAGGUUUGCUCUUUGGCUUCUUAUUUAUACAUUGCUUGCCGGCAAGAGGACAAGACAAGAUCCAUUACGAGUACCAAACAAUUUUGGUUUAUUUGUAUAUAUUUGGCAGUUGGAGCUUGAAACCGGACAAUCUGUUGAAAUGGGAACCAUCCACGCCGGAGAUUUUAUGCGGCUCAAGAGUCUGUGCAGAAGUUAAAGGAGUUCAAUAUAAGGUUACAUCAUUAACCACUACUAUCUUAUCGUUUUUUAUGUUUUUGUCGAUUUUAUGAUUAUUCGUACGUGGAGCUUUUAACCCUUUGUUUGCAAGACGAGUCACAUACCUAUUGCAGCAGAAGUUAUAAACAACACAGCUCUCUGAUUAGAAGAAGCCUCUCCGAGGUGUAUUGGUGGCAACUGGACUAGCAGAAGAAACUAUAAGAAACUCUUACAUAGAUAUCUCCCCUCACUUUUCCAAGAUCAAACCAGCAGAUGAAAAAUUUUGAACCCUGGCCAGAAUGUCUUUUUUUUUUUGGACAAACCCUGGCCAGAAUGUCUAAUAUAGUUUUUGCCAGUGCCUUUUGAAAAUCUCUACUGUGUUGCAUUGGGGAUGAACAAUUGUCACCUUAACUAUGAAUCUAUGAGAUUGGGGGGUAUUUCCAACA